rnacentral:lncRNA from 1 species
UAAUGUGCUAUUCUAGCUGUAAUCUAAUGGACUAUUCUAGCAAGUAUAGUAAUGUAAGCGUUCUAGCAAGUAUAGUAAUGUAAGCGUUCUAGUAUAAAUGUAUAUGUUCUCGUCCUAGUAUAGAUGUAUAUGUAAUGUACAGUAAUGUUCUAGAAAGUAUUGACUCAUGAAUGAACUGACUCAUUGUAUGAUAUCGCGUUCUAGUAAUGGUUCUAGUAUCUUCCUGAACUACCCAUAUCGUAGCUUACUAGUAAUCUAAGUGGUACGUAUGGACAUGGAUGUAUACCCUUGCUACCCAAGGGCAUAGGAUGAAACUGGAAAGACCUUUGAUGACUAUAUAUGUACACAUGAUAUAUAACUAAUACUUAAACGACCUUCGGAUGGUCAUCCGAAAUCCCACCAGACCACAUCCAAAUCGAGAAAAAGGAAAUAGGGCGGAUGGCCUUCCUAAGUCUUUUAAGCAUUUCUUAUAUAACUAUACAUAUAGAGGCAUGCAAUUUAUAAUACAAAAGCAUAAAUAAGUUUGGUAAAAACAUUUGAAACAUAAAUAUUAGUUUAAGGAAAGAUCGAAUUGAUGUCAAUCUAUAAAGCAAUUUGAAGGCAUAUGUUUGAUAAGACAAUAUAAGUACAAGGAACAUUUGUUUGAAAACACAGUUGUAAAUAAGUUUGAAAUAUGAUGAACAGAGUAAGAGGUACAGUGUAAUAAGUAGUUGGAAAUGUAUAAAAUGUUUAUAAAAAUCAUUUGAAGGAAACUGUUUGGUAAAACAGCUAAUGAGUAGCCAAAUCUUUUGAAUGUUGUAUAUUAAUCACAUGUGAUUGAUGUAAUAAGUAAUAUAAUCCUACUUACUAAUCACAUGUGAUUGACAUAAAAAGUAGCAUGAUUCUACUUGUAUCCCCCCCAUAAAACAUUUAAAAUAGUUUAAAACAUUAGUUAAGGGGUAUGAACUCACCUGCAGUAUGUGACUGGAAUUGAACGGGCUGUUAUCGUACGGAAGGAUCGGACAAGUGCUUGGUGUCAAGUGAAGACUUAGACACACACAAUGAUCCUAAUUACAUAUGAAGACAUAUGUAUAUAAAUAAUUAGAGAUUUAAUCACUAACUAUACAAGUAUAACAUUUAAGCGCGAGGACAACACUUUUGGUCAAGUGCUAGGAGGCUAAUGGGUUGCAACAAAGAAGUGCAAUGCCCCUAAUGGAAGUUUAAGGUCAAAAGACCAUAUUCAUUGGAGUUUACGGCCCAGGGGAGUAAGCUCCUGGCCGUAAACUCUCAACCAAGUCAUGAAAUGGAGUUUAGAAGUACUACAACCUUAGAGGGGAAUUGUUUCAAGGCUAUACAAGUGUUUGGGCACCACAUUGACUCCUUUGGGGAGUUUACGGCCCAAAGACCCUUUUCCCUUGGAGUUUACGGCCGUAAACUCCCUUGGGAGGGUUCUUAUUGUCCUUUCAAGUCUCCAACAUUUCUAGGAACAAGUCUAGGCUUCAAUACUUGGAUUAAGGAAGGUUUAUGGCACUAAAUGGAACCAUUUGAUGGAGUUUACGGCCAUAGAACUCUUUGGGCCGUAAACUCCCUCACACAUGAGGUUCUAAGAAUUUUAACUAGUCCAAAACUCAUCUAGGUACUUGCCCUAAAAGUCUCUUGGCCUAAGGAAGUGUCUAGGGUGUCCUUUGACCCCUUAAUAGGAGUUUACGGCCCAAGAAAUACUCUUGGUCGUAAACUCUUCAACACUUGAGCUUUUCAUGAGUUUUCUAGGUCCUAAACACUUUAAGGUAUUUGCCUAAAAUGAAGACUAAGCCUUAGGAAGAGUUUGAAGGGGUUUUGACCCUUAAAAUGAAGACUAGGUCCUAAACGCUUUAAGCAUCUUCGCCGUAAACUCCCUUCCAAAAUUGAUUUCUAAUUAUUUUGUUGGCCUAAAUCAUGAGUUUAAGGCUUUUAGGUUCUUGUUCUAAGGCUAAAGUAACAUUAGGCACUCAUUUGUGCCCUUUACUUGGAGUUUACGGCCCAAAAGGUGUUCCUUGGCCGUAAACUCCUCAAACUACAUGGUUUUGAUUUGUUUCUAGACUAGGUGGCCUUUAGGCUUGAUUUUGGAGUUUACUCCCCAAGAACAUUCUUGGGCGGUAAACUCCCGGAUCUUGUACUUUGGACAUGUAAAUAAUGUUAUUAAUCAUAUAACAAGUAUUAAAACACAUCUAUGAAAGUAGACUCACAAUCUGGGAUGAAAACCCGAAGAUCCGUGAGAGAGAAAUUUGCUUUUUUCUAAUUGGAAUUUAACUAAUGAACCAAUUUGGUUCAGAAUUCUAUUUAUAGUCCUGAGAUUUUUGGCAGAAAAUAUUUCUAUUCUCGGAAUGGAUUCUAAUGACCUAGAGUAAUGGAAUUUCAGUGUUGCACAAAAUCCCAGUGCAUCCACUCUCCUAAUAACUCCUUAAGUGUAAAACCCUAAAACAACCAAACUUAUUCCAUAAGUCUAAAAUAUUACUGUAGUUGCUCUACUACUAUUGGAUUGAAGUGGUUUGAUUUGAAUGGAAAAUUUCGGGUUGUCACAUCAUCCCCCUGUUAAAGGGAAUUUCAUCUCGAAAUUAGAAUUCAGGCAAGGAAGUAUGCAUGAAUGAUCGAGUCGUGAGGAGGAAACUUCCUAAUCGAUUGGUUCUAGCGCACUUAAGUGAAAUCCGGCUCUCGGUUGGUAUCCCAAUGAACCUUCACUAACUGGCGACGGCGUUUCUUCGUCCACUUGACCUCUCGGUCGAGGGUCACUACAGUUCUGAUACGAAGGCAAGGAUCUCGACGAGUGGACUUGUAAGAGUCCUAACGGAAAGGUAUGAUUUCACGAUCGAGAUGCGAAGUGUAGAAAGUAUGUUACUGAGUUCGCGGAGUAGGUCUAGUUUGUGCGAGGAACAGGACCGAUUCUGAUAAGAAUUGCGGAGGUCCUGUCCAAUUUGGAUUUAGCUUUCCACGCUUUACGAAGCGUAUUAAGCCAUUCUCAGAUUGAGUUAUCCUAAGGAACUUGGUCACUCACUCGGAAUCUCAAAGGUUCCUUUUCUUGCGUAACUUCCCAGUCAAAGGCCACCCCUCACUGGGUCAAAGUCGUACGAGUUUCUGUAGCUUGCGAGGAGUUCUGAAUGAACUAAGGUGGUAGGUCGGUAAGACCUAAAAUUUGGCGAAAAACUGACGGUGUCUCUGGUGUUGAUGAAUGCUCAAUGGUUUUUGACAAAUUGAAAGAUUGCUCAAAAUUUCUCACAUUACUAACAGUGUGUCCUAGAAAUUUGACUCUUCAAUUUCAAAACUCGUGCCCAGAGCACUUUGCUAAAAGUUCCUCUGUACGAAAUGUUUUCAUGGGUUUUCUUAUUACUACAAGGGUAGAUAAAUAAGUCAUUUCAUGGAGANGUCAUUACAUGGAGAAAUGACGAAUUGAUCCAAGUAAGAAAGACGUAACCCUAUUCAUUUAGCUCAUGAAAACCAUGGGCGUACUGGUCCUAUCCGAAAGGUAUCACUACGGACUCGAGGCGUCCGCAUCGAAUUCGGAAGAUAGUCUCCCAGACAUCCUUCCCUAACACAUCGAACUGGUGAUAUUCGGAUCUCAGGUCUAUUCCUGGAUGUAGUUUCUUUCCUUACGAUUGCUCAACCAUUUUGUCUAUGUGAGGCAGAGAUAACGAUUUUUAUGAAAAUCUUGACGGAUUCCUCAAUAUCCGAGGCACAUACAAUGCGAUCCAUCGAUCUCUGGAAGAAUCUGACCGGGGUUCUCUAGGGUGAGAAACCUAGUCUUCUAAUUCUAUUUCUGUAUGGUUCACCAAGUUGCUCGUGCUGUUCUUGUUUUUCCAGGGGUGUUUAAACUAUAGGGUGAUCCGUUUUCGGGAGUUGUACUGGGUUCUAAGUUUGUUCACAUGACGAUGUGAUUACUCGUAUACUUAGGCAGUUUCUCCGUCCUGAAGUCCAUUUUAGAAUUCAUACAGGGCUUCACGAUNCAGUUUCUCCGUCCUGAAGUCCAUUUGAGAAUUCAUACAGGGCUUCACGAUCACAAUUUCGUGUAUACGAGGCGUAUAUAAUUAAGAUUGAAAAGGUAGUCGAAUAACUGAUUCUUCCUUACCCUCACAUCCCAAGGAGGAAAAGAGUUAAGGCGAAAUCAUUAGUUCUAAACCUGUAGAACCUUGAUUAUAUAACACUCUUAUGUAUACCUUCCUCAGUGAUAGAUCAUCCGCAUGAAUUCCUGGAUUGAACUUGACGUACUGCACAAGUGGUACUUCGGGGAUUUCUUCGUAAAGAAAAUAACUAAGAGGUACUCCUGAAAUGAGUACUUCGGGGAUUUCUUCAGAAAGAAAAUAUCUAAGAGGUACUCCUGGAAUGAGUACUUCGGCAUUCUGAUAUGAUGGCUUCGCUGGAAAAAUGAUCUAGAAGAAAGAGAUGUACGUAUGAAGCUGUUUUUGCGAGGAUCAAAUUAGAUUGAGUCGUAUGAUAAUGUCGGAAUCAUACUGAAAUUUAAAGACAUUAGAUUUGAACAUAAGACGUUUGCAGACAAUAGACAACCGUGCAACCAUGAACAAGAAUUACAGUACCUUAGAUUUACCACAAGACUAUUGCUGCGAAUAAGAUAUACUACAAAAGACAAGUAUACGCAGCACGAGAAUUCCUAUACAGACAGGAUCUCGCAAAAGGUAAGACUCUAGUUGCACUAGUCCUAGAUAGUUUAUAAGUCUGUUACAACGAAACGCCUUAAUUACAUUAACGUGGUUCCUGAGCAGGCUCUCCUGCAGCUGUGAUCCUGAGAAUCUUCCCAUCAGCGCCAAAAUUUUGCGUUAUCGGGCAAUCCCACUGGAGGUGUCCAAUUUCACCGCAUUGGUGACAUAUAUGGACAGUACCCACAUUGGUGGUGGAAGUGAAACGUCGAGUAGUAGUUAUGGGAACACGGGUUCUUUCCUUGGUUUCCUUCUUCGGGCAAUCUCUUUUAUAGUGCCCAAACUCACCACAGUUAUAGCAAUUUAGGCUUGCCCUAGUGGUGGAGGUAGCUCUACAAAAACGAGCGAUGUGCGCUUUCUUGUUGCAGUUUACACACUGCAAGACUCUGCAAAUUCCUUUGUGGUGGUAAUUUCACCGGUCGCACUUCGGGAGUGUUCUCUUAUAUGGUCUGCUCGGUACUGGGAUGGCAGAGGUUUGUGGCUGUUGCCUGGCAAUUCUCUGAAACCGUUUGCGUUCCACUUUGGCUUGACGUUUUCUUUUCUUGUUCUCUGCUUUCUGGCUUUGCGAGCCUGUGACUGUUUCUGUUUGGUGACUUCCUGGAUGGGUAUCGCGAUUUGAAACUUCAUUCCCAUAAGCAGCAUUGGCUGUGCUGUUAGCGCUACGGUGCGCAAGUACCGCGGUUACGGCAGGCACNAACUGCCGUUUGAAAGGUAGCAACGUCCAUGGGAAAAGUAGAGGUCUCAUUGCUUGGCUGGUUGUUUCCGGAUGACGACAUGAUUCUGUAAUACGAAAGAUAAGGAUUUGUGAGCGAUUCUGGUUGACCCUGAUGUACUUAGAUUGUUCAUGAAAAGAGUAAGAGUAUGUUCUCAAAAGUUUGACCUACAUCACUAUGAUGCAGUCUUGCUAAAGAAUGAAAGUAUGUUAGCUAAGGUUUGACCUACAUCCCUAUGAUGCAGUCCUAGUACGGAAUGGAAGUAUCCUCGUAGAAUGGUCUCAACACGUUUGUCGUUCGAGCUGAGGUAUCGUGGGUUGGUGAAUAACAAGAUCCAACCACUGAAAGAGACUUGGAAAUGUCUCUUGGAAUAAAUCACCAUAGUCCAAUGACUUGACUAAGGUAUGAUUCAGAUAGACUCCACUGAAAGUAAGAUAAAAGUACUUGGAUGAAGAAUGACGCAAAAGUUAGCCGGCUGUCAAUAUCUUUGAUAUUCACAAUGUAAAGAUUCGGGAAGAUGACCUUGUAAAGGUCUUAUAUCAUAUCCACAGAAGAUAGUUCCUGACAGCAUAUAGAUCUAACUAAAGUACUUACGGUAAAAGAUAAUUUCCUAGAAAAUACCACAUUGGGCAUAGACAGAAAAACACGAUUUCUUUUUAUAAGGGAAAUAAAGUAAAGCGUCUACUACGGGCGACGGUCAUCCCUAUGGUGAACUCUUAGUUCAACCAAUUGGCGUUCCAUGUCAAGUAGGUGUCUUUCGCACACCAUCUGGUGUACGUGGAGCUCUAUGACUUCGGCUCGUGAUUUAGCCAGCGCUUGCAACAGGGCUUCAUGGUUUUUCUCUGAUCUCUCGUGAGUAUAUGCUAGAUGAAUGGUGUAGAGGGUAUGCAUUCUAGCAUAGUCGACUACUUCUGAAAUCUGAUGUAGAGUUGUCUUGCCUUGAAUCUCAUUUUGGGCCCUUCUGCGGACCAAGAUUGGCAAAACUAUCUGCUGAGCCCCCAUUGCUCAAGUUGUAAAAGCUUCGGUCACCAUCAAAUAGCAUAAACUGAUCUUGUCCUUGGCUCCCUGUUUCCAAGCAUUCCACUCACUCAGGGUCGGGCAAUGAAAAGCCGGAAGAGGGUUAGGAAUUGAAACGGGAGUUGUUCGAGGUAGGUUCUCCACCUCUGGUUCGGAGUUAGCAUCAUACGAAAGGUCUUCGUCAUGGUGAUCAUUCAAGGGGAUAGAAUGAUCAUUCUUCGGUUCUUCUCCAAACCAACCAGCUAUGACUUCAUUCGGAAGAUACUGGUUUGUCAAGUGGAUGGAGUCCAGCUAUGAUUUCUAUGCGAGAAUUUAGGAUAAGAGGAUAAUUAUUAGACGAACUAUCUAGAUAAUUAUUUAGAAAACCUUCAUUAGUUACAUCGCUAUUUGUGAAGUGCAUACCAGCUAUGUGUAAUCUAAACAGGAUAGACCUUCGAAUAAGUGACCUUAACUCCUUAUUCACACAGAAUAGGGGAAAGGCAAAAUUAUCACAGAUUCUGAGUCUAUAACAUCCUAAUUACAUGUAGCCUCAGUAUAUCCACUUAGCAACUAUUCAACUAAAUAAUGAAGAUCAUGUUUUUAAUUCUCAAGUAUAAGGUACUUAUAGUAACACCAAUAUACACCUAUAGUAUUUUAAAUUUAUUGUUAUGNUUUCUAGCCUCUAAUGAUCAUACACUAAGUCCUUAGUUAGAUGCCUAACACGGAAAUGGGACUAGGUGGCCUUUAGGCUUGAUUUUGGAGUUUACUCCCCAAGAACGUUCUUGGGCGGUAAACUCCCGGAUCUUGUGUUUUGGACAUGUAAACAAUGUUAUAAAGCAUAUAACAAGUAUUAAAACACAUUUAGGGAAGUAGACUCACAAUCUGGGAUGAAAACCCGAAGAUCCGUGAGAGAGUAUUUGGCUUUUCUCUAAAUGGAAAUCAAAUAAUGAACCAAUUUGGUUCAGAAUUCUAUUUAUAGUCCAGAGAUUUUUGGCAGAAAAUAUUUCUAUUCUCGGAAUGGAUUCUAAUGACCUAGAGUAAUGGAAUUACAGUGUUGCACAAAAUCCUAGUGCACCCACUCUCCUAAUAACUCCUUAGGUGUAAAACCCUAAAACUGCCAAACUUAUUCCAAAAGUUUGAAUUUUCACUGAAACUGCUCUACUUCCAUUGGAUUGAUGUGGUUUGAUUUGAAUGGAAAAUUUCGGGUUGUCACAGUUAAGGGGUAUGAACUCACCUGCAGUAUGUGACUGGAAUUGAACGGGCUGUUAUCGUACGGAAGGAUCAGACAAGUGCUUGGUGUCAAGUGAAGACUUAGACACACACAAUGAUCCUAAUUACAUAUGAAACAUAUGUAUAUAAAUAAUUAGUGAUUAUAACACUAAUUAUACAAGUAAUAACAUUUAAGCGCGAGGACAACACUUUUGGUCAAGUGCUAGGAGGCUAAUGGGUUGCAACAAAGAAGUGCAAUGCCCCUAAUGAAAGUUUAAGGUCAAAAGACCAUAUUCAUUAGAGUUUACGGCCCAGGGGAGUAAGCUCCUGGCCGUAAACUCUCAAACAAGUCAUGAAAUGGAGUUUAAAAGUACUACAACCUUAGAGGGGAAUUGUUUCAAGGCUAUACAAGUGUUUGGGCACCACAUUGACUCCUUUGGGGAGUUUACGGCCCAAAGACCCUUCUCCCUUGGAGUUUACGGCCGUAAACUCCCUUGGGAGGGUUCUUAUUGUCCU